UGAACGCUGGCGGCGUGCCUAAUACAUGCAAGUCGAGCGAACAGACGAGGAGCUUGCUCCUCUGACGUUAGCGGCGGACGGGUGAGUAACACGUGGAUAACCUACCUAUAAGACUGGGAUAACUUCGGGAAACCGGAGCUAAUACCGGAUAAUAUAUUGAACCGCAUGGUUCAAUAGUGAAAGACGGUUUUGCUGUCACUUAUAGAUGGAUCCGCGCCGCAUUAGCUAGUUGGUAAGGUAACGGCUUACCAAGGCAACGAUGCGUAGCCGACCUGAGAGGGUGAUCGGCCACACUGGAACUGAGACACGGUCCAGACUCCUACGGGAGGCAGCAGUAGGGAAUCUUCCGCAAAGGGCGAAAGCUUGACGGAGCAACGCCGCGUGAGUGAUGAAGGUCUUCGGAUCGUAAAACUCUGUUAUUAGGGAAGAACAAAUGUGUAAGUAACUAUGCACGUCCUGACGGUACCUAAUCAGAAAGCCACGGCUAACUACGUG
rnacentral:rRNA from 1 species